rnacentral:tRNA from 1 species
UGGCUCAGAUGGUAAAGCGUCUGCCUGUAAUGCGGGAGACCCGGGUUCGAUCCCUGG